rnacentral:rRNA from 1 species
AGAAUCAACGCUGGCGGCGUGCCUAACACAUGCAAGUCGAACGAGAAAGUGGGAGCAAUCCCACGAGUAAAGUGGCGCACGGGUGAGUAACACGUGACUAACCUACCCUUGAGUGGGGGAUAACCUAGGGAAACCUGGGCUAAUACCGCAUAAUACCUACGGGUCAAAGGAGCAAUUCGCUUUAGGAGGGGUCGCGGCAGAUUAGUUGGUUGGCGGGGUAAUGGCCCACCAAGACAGUGAUCUGUA